CAGUAGCCGCGGGAAUACAGAGGGUGCAAGCGUUAAUCGGAAUUACUGGGCGUAAAGCGCGCGUAGGUGGUUUGUUAAGUUGAAUGUGAAAUCCCCGGGCUCAACCUGGGAACUGCAUCCAAAACUGGCAAGCUAGAGUAGGGCAGAGGGUGGUGGAAUUUCCUGUGUAGCGGUGAAAUGCGUAGAUAUAGGAAGGAACAUCAGUGGCGAAGGCGACCACCUGGGCUCAUACUGACACUGAGGUGCGAAAGCGUGGGGAGCAAACAGGAUUAGAUACCCCAGUAGUCCCUGUCUCUUAUAC
rnacentral:rRNA from 1 species